rnacentral:rRNA from 1 species
AGCGAACGCUGGCGGCAGGCUUAACACAUGCAAGUCGAGCGGGCGUAGCAAUACGUCAGCGGCAGACGGGUGAGUAACGCGUGGGAACAUACCUUUUGGUUCGGAACAACACAGGGAAACUUGUGCUAAUACCGGAUAAGCCCUUACGGGGAAAGAUUUAUCGCCGAAAGAUUGGCCCGCGUCUGAUUAGCUAGUUGGUGAGGUAAUGGCUCACCAAGGCGACGAUCAGUAGCGGUCUGAGAGGAUGAUCAGCCACAUUGGGACUGAGACACGGCCCAAACUCCUACGGGAGGCAGCAGUGGGGAAUAUUGGACAAUGGGCGCAAGCCUGAUCCAGCCAUGCCGCGUGAGUGAUGAAGGCCCUAGGGUUGUAAAGCUCUUUCGUGCGGGAAGAUAAUGACGGUACCGCAAGAAUAAGCCCCGGCUAACUUCGUGCCAGCCGCCGCAGU